UUUUCUCCUUUCUCCUUCUUUCUUCCACAAUUUUUUUCUCCUUUUCUCUUCUUCUUCAACCUAAUCCUUUUUUAAUGGGUUCCUUUCCCUCUCUUCUUCUAUCAUUUCUUCACCUCAAGUACCAAUCGAGCGUCAUCAAAAUUGUGCACAAUCAUCGAAAGUCACUCCGUUUGGGGUCAUCGAACGUUUGCAGCUCCAUGUCCAAUCUACUCAAUGGGUUUAGAGUUUGCCGGAAAUUGUAGCUUCGAGUAGUUGUCGGAAUGAAGGGAUUCAAAUGGAGGAAUGGUUGAAAAGAGGAGGAGAAGAACGUUGAGGAAGAAGAAGGGAGUUUGUUGGAGAAUGGGUUAAAAAAAUAAAAAAAAAUAAUAAUAAUAAUAGAGUUGGGUUAUUUUGACCAUGCAGCUCAUGCUACCUAAUGUCAAAGAAGGAGUCUAAGCCCAAAUUGCUGAGGUGGGUUCUUCUCCUCGAGGAGUUUAACCUGAGACUUCAGGAUAGAAAGGGAUGCGAGAAUGUUGAUGGAGGUUGUCUUAGUUUUAAUGGAGACUUCCCUUACCAUAUUUUGAUGCAGACAGAUGGUAUUUCUAUGACUCCCUGGACAAUUGUGAAUUUCUUGACCACUGGUAAGUUCCCUCAUGGUAUGAAUAAACAUAAACAAAAUAAAAUCAAGAGUGAGUAAAAGUAUUAUGUUUGGGAGCACCCUAUUCUCUGGAAAUUAUGUUUAGAUCAGGUAGUUAGGAGGUGUGUCCCUAAUGAUGAGUUGUUUUCUGUUCUUGAAUUUCAUCAUAAGCAUGCAUGUAGAGGGCACUUCAGUCCCAAGAGAACCGCCAAGAAAGUCUUAGAUUCUGGUUUAUAUUGGGACACAUUAUUUAGGGAUGCAUAUUUUGUCUGUAAAACUUGUGAGCGGUGUCAGAAAUCUGGUAGAUUGUCCCGUAGGAAUGAGAUACCACAAUUCCCUGUCCUUUUUUGCAAAAUAUUUGAUGUUUGAGGAAUUGACUUUAUGGGACCUUUUCCUUCUUCUUGUGGAUAUAAAUACAUUUUAUUGGCAGUGGACUAUGUUUCCAAAUGGGUGGAAGCAAAGGCCACAAUUAUUGAUGAUGCUAAAGUGGUUUCACGUUUCUUGAAGACUAACAUUCUAUGUAGGUUUGGAUUCCCUAAAGCAAUCAUCGCGAUCAAGGAUCACACUUUUGCAAUCGAGUCAUUGCCUCCAUGUUGAAGAAAUAUGGUGUUCAACAUCGUAUUGCCACCCCAUACCACCCUCAGACUAAUGGGCAGGCAGAGGUGUCCAACAGGGAAGUAAAAACAAUUUCGGAAAAGAAGGUCAACCCAGGAAGAAAGGAUUGGAGCCUCCAAGUGGAUGGCGCUCUAUGGGCUUACAGGACAGCUUUCAAGACUCUUAUUGGGAUGUCUCCCUACCGGAUGGUUUAUGGUAAGGCUUUCCAUAUUCCAGUUGAAAAUCCAACACAAAGCUUAAUGGGCAACCAAGAAGUGCAGGAUUUAGAGACAAUUGGGGAGGUCAAACUUCUACAACUUAAGUAGUUAAAAGAGUUAAGGUUAUAAUGAUUUGAUAAUUCUUUGAUUUAUAAGAAAAGAGUGAAGGAUAUUCAUGGUAGAAUGAUUGCACCCAAGGAGUUUUAGGUAGGGCAAAAGGUACUUCUUUAUAACUCUCGAUUGAAAUUUAUGCCUGGUGAACUCCAGUCCAAGUGGCUUGGACCAUUUGGUGUUUCUCACGUUUAUCCUUAUGGUGCAGUAGACAUUGUUAAUCUUGCAUCAGUGAAGGUUAUUAAAGUUAAUGGGCAUAAGUUGAAGGUCUUCCAUGAUGGCAAGUCGUUGGAUUACUUCGACGUUGCCUACUGAUUGGACUCGCCGAUCUACAUCUGAAAUUGAGCCAUCACGGUCAAGCAACUGACCAUAAAUAUUUGCGCUUCCUAGAGGCUGCUAGGAUUUAAAUUUACUUGAUUUCUAGGAUUAGAUUUCAAUUCAAUAUUUUCUCUUUUUAUUUUUUAUUUAUUUUGUUGAGCUUAAUUCUUUCUAUUAUUCUUGUUUGCUAGGAUUUUUGGGGAGAAAGGAGUUGAGUCGAGUGUCCUAUAUUCUUCCUUUACUCUAUUGUUCAGGGAAGUAUUCUGAUCCCUCGUACUUCAUUUUAAUCACAUUGGGGACAAUAUGUGAUUUAAAAGUUGGGGGUGGGGUGUUUGAAUUUUUAAGAGGAUUUUUUGGCUGAAUCUUUUUAUUUAAUAUAUUAUUUGGGGUCCUUGAGCGUUGUGCUCGGACAAUGCUUGCUUGAUUGAGUUUUUCUUGCUGUUUUAUUCCUUACGAUGACUAAUCUAUAAUGCAGAGUAUGAAUUGUUUUUUGCAUUAGAAUAUGUUGGAAGAAAGGGUUCAUAAUUUUAAUGAUGUUUUUGAAAAAAUUGCUUUUUUUUUUUUAAUUACAUCUCUAAGCCUUUUGCAUAUCUAUCUUGACAUGUUUUCUUGCUUAGAAUUGAAUUAUAAGACCAUAAAGUUGUUGUCACUCUGAUAGGCCUUGGUGAUAGAUAUUAAUCUUUUCGCGGUUCAAUUUAGUAAUGCAUGUUUGAGAUAUAGUCAAUUGAUAUCACUGUCGCCUAGUAAAAAAAAAUAGAGAGAGAGAAUUUUCAUUUAUGCAUGUUUAGGGGUCUACUCCUCUUCUUCAAGGUUAUGAUUAACCUGGGGCGGCCAUGACACCCGUGGUUUCCCUCUGAGCUAAAGUAUCCUAGAGGAAUGAGUAAGCUUAGACACUUUUGAAGGGAAAUUGGCCUAUAAUUGGAUGACUCACAUGACACCCGUGUGGGCAAGCCAAAAUGAAAGUCAUUUUCCUAGAUUAAGUUUCCCCUUUGAGCUCUAAAAAAAAAAAGAGAUAAUAAUAAUAAACAAGAAAGGGCGAUAGAUGAUUAGAUUUUCACCGAUCCAAUUUGAUGUCAUUACCACUUUGAAUUUAGGAAAGCUAAUACUGGAACCUUCAAGCCAGUGUAGGGGAAAAACUAAUGGAAGAUUCAUAAAGCCAUUCCGAGCUUGCUUUUGUUCAAAAUAAAUAACUUUAAGCUUGGACAUGCAUAACAAAUUUUCAAACCGUUCUUAAAAUGAUGGGAUGCUUUUUGAUUAUCUAAUCGAUUGUGAAAUUAAUUCUAGUUGAUUGUUGAGGCUUGAGUAAGGAACAUUCUAUUUUGACUGAUUAUCUUUUGCAUGAUUGUUUGUUUUAACUUGCUCGAGGACGAUCAAGAAUUAAGUUGGGGGUGUUUGAUAGCACUGGAAAUGUGCUAUCUUCUUCCACUUAACUCAGGGUUGUUUAGCUACUUAAUUUGGUUAAAUUGAUUAUUUUUUAGGACUUGAGUGUACAAGUAGUUGAAUUAAGCAGUCGGGACAAAAAGGCGAUAAAAUGACGAAGUUUGGAGCUAAAUUGAUCAACUGACGAAGGAAUGAAGAAUUUUUCCCUGCCGAGCAUUGCAAUGCUCU